rnacentral:rRNA from 2 species
UGGAGCUUUAAACCUGACAGCACCCGCUCAUUCUAUACCCCAUUAUUUGCCCGACCCCUGUCUGCUCAGUUUUAGGUUGGGGNGACCACGGAGUAUAAAAUAACCUCCAUGAAGAAGGGGAUAUUUCCCUUAUUAGAGAACCACNCUUCCAAGAACUAAUAAAUUAAUUUUCAAUGACCCGAUACCCGAUAAUCGAUCAACGAACCAAGUUACCCUGGGGAUAA